rnacentral:rRNA from 1 species
CCUACGGGUGGCAGCAGUAGGGAAUAUUGCUCAAUGGGCGAAACCCUGAAGCAGCAAUGCCGCGUGGAGGAUGAAGGCUUUCGGAUUGUAAACCUCUUUUGUUAGAGAAGAUAACGACGGUAUUUAUCGCCUUAGCACCGGAUAACUCCGUGACAGCAGCCGCGGUAAUACGGAGGGUGCAAGCGUUAAUCGGAAUCACUGGUCUUAAAGAGCGCGUAGGCGGGUUGGCAAGUCAGAUGUGAAAUCCGAAGGCUGAACCAUAGAACUGCAUUUGAAACUGGUAGUCUAGAGUAUAGGAGAGGUAGGUGGAAUGCUUGGUGUAGGGGUGAAAUCCGUAGAGAGCAAGAGGAAUACUGAUUGCGAAGGCGACCUGCUAGAACAUGACUGACGCUGAGGCGCGAAAGCGUGGGGAGCAAACAGGAUUAGAUACCCUAGUAGUC